UUUAGGCGAGUGUGUCUUGCACGUAUGCGUUUGAAGCAUAAAGUCCACCAAUAAAUGGGCCUUAAA
rnacentral:tRNA from 1 species